CUUUUUCCUGUGAUCCUUUAUCUAUCACUCUCAGAUUGAUUUAAAUUACGAUUCAGGAGUAGAACACAUGAAAAGUUAAUUGAUGUUAUUAUUGGGUGUGGAUAAUGCACCUCUAGUUAUAAGCUCUCAGAAAAGUUAUAUGUUGAUUUUUAAAAGGAACAAUUUAGAAGUUUCGUCUGUUGGUCUGACUUAGGAUGUCAAUUUAAAGAUGGCAACGGGGAGUACUAACAGGGAAAAUUCUUGUCGUCUUUCAUUGACCUGGUUGUGGUUUUUAGCUCAACAUUUUUAUUUUCCUUCAGCAUCUUGUUUAUUAUGUCUUCCUUCUUGGGGUUCGUGAUGUGAUAUUUCCUCUUCAUUGUGGGAUAUAAGUUCCCCUUUUGCAAUUGGAUCAAUUGGUUUAGUGGAAUCUUUUGGGUACUCAAGCAUGAGUUCAGGUGUUGAAAAGUUCAUAAAAUGCUGUGAUUAUUUCUCUUCUACUUAAUAAUUGUAGAUAUGGUUGGUGAAGGUAUGGAAUUUAGCCCGCUCGAUCACAUUUGGAGUUCUUUUUGGGGUCUGUCAUGGAAAAUGAUUUGUGAUUAUUUCUGUUUUGCUUGGUAGCUACAGACGUGAUUGGUGAAGCUAAUGAAUUUUGACACGGCUUGAUUGCAUUUGAGUUUCUUUUUCUGUCAGGUACAUUUAGUUAAUAUUUUCUCUUGUUAUGAUUUGGGAAAGUGAUGCGUUCUGGAAAUUCGAGCAAUGCACUGGAGCAGUGGUUUGGACAUGCUACUUCAUCUACCAAUCUUACUAUUGCUCUCCUACGGUGGUUCUUAGCCAGGUGCAAAUUUCUUGCUAUAAUGGAACCUUUCAAUGGAAUAACUCUGCUCCCAUUAUGCUCAUACCUUGUCAGCUUCUAGGAAAGGAGGUAUGGGUUACCCAAUUUGCGGUCUUCCAGUGAGGUGGUCUAGCUUGCCCGUUUGGAAGGGGAGAUUCAAUCAUGUGAUUAUCUGCUGACGAUCAUAUGGUACCCUACUACCAUCUCCAGCAGCAGCAGGAACAUCAAUUGCGGAGAAUGUAGUUGUCAUGGUAUCAAUGUGAGUACCCUAUUACCAUCUUCAGCGGCAACAACAAAUGAACUAAAAUUAUUUAUAAAAUUAUAUAUUACAUGAUUUGUCUUACACGUGCGUAGCUCGUGUCAAAAAACUAGUUUUAAAUAACAUAUACGUGAAUAUAUUUUUUUCUAAUUAAAAUAAAUUUUUUCUGCUAUAUAGUUAUACACACCCCAAUAUAUAUAUAUAUAUAUAUAUAUAUAUAUAUAUAUAUU